UGUCCAAUGAAAAAGAUUCCCAAAAAGACUUGUGCUUCACCUGAUGGAAAAGGGGAAGGAAGGAAGUCCAGAGAUUGGAUAUGGAAGCAUUCCCAGGGAAAGAAAGAGGUGGCGAGAAGGAGGAAAUACUGGCACUGGCAGUACAGCAGUGUCUAAGACUUAGAACACUGAGGGAGGUCAUCUUUAAAACAGGUGACCUUGUGGAAGAUAGGAGAAAUUAAGAACUUAGAGGGGAACCAAAUGACAUCCAGAGGCCAUUCUCACCUGGGCUGUGCACUCUGUGAUCCUCCUCUUUGCCCCAGGCCUAUCAAAUCAGAAUUGGUGGGGGGAGGGCUGUUUCUGAAGGAAACAUGGGCUUUUUUCUUUUUUAACUCCACAGAUGAUUCUAGUGCACAGCAAGCGGUGGAAAUUACUGGUUUAAGGAGGCUGAAGCAAAAGUGACCCAAACAACCCAGUGGUGGUAACAGUAAAAGUAAUUGCACCGUACCCCACAUGAAAAGCAUGAACUGGUUCUCUCUCCGCCUUCAAAGUAUACAGUUCUCUGAUUUGUCCCACAACUAACAUUCUCUGGGAUGCCAAAAAGGCCACUACUGUCACAGAGCUCUGAGCAUUAGCAGUGACUCCAAAACAAACACUAGCUUUAAAAAGAAAACAGGCUGAGGAGCCUGGGUGGCUCAGUCGGUUAAGUGUCCGGCUUCAGCUCAGGUUCUGAUCUCAUGGUUUGUGAGUUCAAGCCCCAUGUCAGCCUCUGUGCUGACAGUGUGGAGCUUGGAACCUGCUUCGGAUUCUGUGGCUCCCCCUCUCUCUGUCUCUCCCCUGCUUACACUCUGUCUCUCUCUCUCUCUCUCUCAAAAA